UACGUAGGGUGCAAGCGUUGUCCGGAAUUAUUGGGCGUAAAGAGCUCGUAGGCGGCCUGUCGCGUCGGCUGUGAAAACCCGGGGCUCAACCCCGGGCCUGCAGUCGAUACGGGCAGGCUAGAGUCCGGCAGGGGAGACUGGAAUUCCUGGUGUAGCGGUGAAAUGCGCAGAUAUCAGGAGGAACACCGGUGGCGAAGGCGGAUCUCUGGGCCAUUACUGACGCUGAGGAGCGAAAGCGUGGGGAGCGAACAGG
rnacentral:rRNA from 1 species